rnacentral:misc_RNA from 1 species
GUUCAAAACUAAGGUAAUCCAGGAGCGAGCGCUUUGGGCGGUAUAAAUAUAUAUUCAUACACUUGUCUAAGUGGUCAUUUCGCAUUGGGUAUAAUGGCUUAUAACAGUUUACAGUUACUGUUGGCGCUUGGCUUGUUUCGUUUUGGAGAAAGUUACCCGUCUUUUCAGCAAAACAUUCCAAACGGUGAAAUCGUACCGAGCCCAUGCAACCCAAAUCACGUCUGGCAGGGUGUCGGACAUAAGGUCAAGGGCGGAGGUGGGGAGAGGAACCAGUUUGGAAUCGAUUUUGAUGAAAAUGGAUACACCUGGAAUGAGAAACUCUGUAAAAUGGACUCUGAUGGUGAUGGAAAGACAAAUGGAGAAGAACUUGGCGAUCCAAACUGUAACUGGAGUAAAGGCGCUACACCACAAACCAGCCUAGGACUAUCACAUCCUGGUAUAUGCGAGCCACUAGGGUCCUCUGCAUGCCAGGGGAAAAACGACUUCAUUGAUUGUGCUACCGAAGACUUCAAGUGCAAUGCACUUUCAGAUCCUGACAUUGUGAGUCACACUGUCAGACUUUCUGAGUCAGACGUUCCGGCAGAGGAGACAACAUACAUAUGUCAGGUGCUAGAUGUCCCUUCAGAUAAAGACUACCACCUCGUGGCGGCUGAACCUUACAUAGAUAACGUGAACGUCAUGCAUCAUAUCAUAGUGUACGGAUGUAGUGAUAAAGCAAAUAUUACCCAAAACCUGCGGGAGCCAAAUGAAUGUUUCAUGAACAGAGUGCCGGGCUGUGAAGAAAUGGUGGCUAUAUGGGCUGUAGGACAAAAUGGAAUGUGUUACCAUGAAGACGCCGGGUUCAAGCUAGGAAUGACGGGCUACAAGAAAGUUCUUAUCGAGAUGCACUGGAACAACCCAAUGAAGGUUGACACUUACAGGGAUUCCUCCGGCAUGACCUUACACUUGACCCCUAACCUUCGCCCGAACGAGGCUGGAAUGAUGAUGAUUGGCCAGGCAUUUUUGAUGAUUCCACCUGGCCGUGAAAAAUAUUCCGUCAACUCUUCCUGUAGCUCUGAAUGCACAAACAAGAAGAUGAUCGGAAAUGUCAACGUAAUAGGAGCUCUUAAUCACAUGCAUUACCUAGGCAUGUCAGCAGUAACCAAGGCGAUUUCCAAUGACAAGGAAGAACACGUUAUAGCAGAUGACCCAAAAUACAGCUACGACAGCCCAGUGUUCUAUAUAUUUGAUGAACCAUUGACACUGGAACCCGGGUACGAGCUUCAGCUCCAUUGUGACUUUAAGUCGACAUCACGAAGCAAAACAACAUUCUUUGGCGAAGGGACCUAUGACGAGAUGUGUUUUGCUUUUCUUAUGUACUAUCCUAAGAACAACUGGCUCGGUGGAGAUUGUGUUACAAGUGGUCCGAUCGACUCCUGCGAGUGAGAAAAAUGUUACGUGGAUGGCUGCGACUUGAACAAGUUAGGAGACCCAACUGAUCAAGAAAAUAUAGCAAGAUAUACCGCCCUUCAAGAAAACUGCAGAGUUGGAGUAUGUCUUGAAGAAUGCAAGGAAGUUGUCCGUGAGAUUUUCAGACAUAGCAUCCCUGCUUUCAGUCGCCUCUCAAGUACAUAAUGCAAGAUUCGUCACUAACUUACGGUGACCAGUCCACUAAACACAUGAUAUUGGAGUAUUAUUACCGCAUGGAUUCCUGCGCCGCUGAAUUGGCAUUGGAAAAGUGUGACGGUAAUGACGGCUGGCACAGACCGGAAGUGGAUGGCGCUGCUGGUGUACAUUUUACAUCGUCCUUUGUGUUGAUUAUUGCGUCAGGCUUGGUUAUUCUUUUCAGUAGUUCCUGUUGUUGAACCAAAUAUGACAGCAGAGUUUCUGAUUAUCUAAAUAGAACUUUGAUAUACUCAUAUCUUUCGCUAUGCAACAAAUCCCUACGUAAAAAUCUUUAUAUUUUGCUGUACAAUGAAAUGCCCCGCUGAGAAAUUCAAAUGCCAUAGAAUAUAAGCGGAUAAUGAAGCGUUUUACUUUCAUUUCUUUCGGGCGGAGGUCUCUGAAACUUAUGCAAGCUUCUAUAAAACCUCUAGAAAAUGUUGCCCAUUCGAGCAUGGGAUACCUCAGAAAAGGCUCACAUGAGUUUAUUGUAAAUCUGCAUUAAACCAUAGUCACAAAUGUUGCGUAUUUAUUUGAAAACAGUAAUCUCCUAUUAGUAAAUAGAAUAUGCACAAUCGCCCAUAAAAAUUUUGUUCAUGUAAACAGCCUUAACUUAAAUUUAACGUUUUUACAAGAAAUGUUUGUAAAACGCUUAAACGCACCAAAAGUAUGUUGUUUACAUAUAUCUUUAGUCCGUCUUAUAUAUUAAUGACUGUAAAUUUUCCAAUUAAAAGAGAUGUUCCUUUGCAAUAAAUAGAUCGUUACUCCGUGAUGUCAUGUUUUUAUUACACUGUGAAACAUACUUUGUGUCCCACUUGAACUGUCCUCUUCAAAAACAGGUUUGUAGAAAACAUAGGGACAUACUGGUUACACCAAUAUAGCAAAACUCUAUUUUAUUUUACUUUUUUAUUAUCUCCCUUUAUUUGAUUUACACGCAACGCUUUGUUUCGGAGUAGUCCAUAACAAUCAAAUGGAUUUCGUUAGACCUUCACACAAAACCAGAGGUCAUUAAGAAAGCGUUCAGUGUAUAAGAACUAUACCUCUUCUUUACGUAACAUUUUAGGUAUUGGCAAAAACUAAGUGUUGCAAGGUAAGUAGAAUUAUUAAGUGUAUAUUACGAAAGAACUAUGAACUUAAAAAAUCGAAACUGUUUGUAAUCAUCAUUAACAAUUUUGAUAGGAUAUUUACACUUGUAAAUUUAAGUCAUUUUGUUCACAAAGAGAUUUAAAAUUUCAAUUUUGUCUUUAUAAUAUUAUUAUAAAUCUUUCAGGAUAGCUCUUGCAAGGUAACCCUCUUUAUGACCAAAGAUGCUGCCUUGAGUCAUUCUUUAUACAUGUUUUAAUCAGCUUUAUAGGUCUAAGGUAACAUUUGGCCGUACAUUGCUACAGCUUAGGUCAUACUACAGAAUGCCACGCAGCUCUUUGUUCUCCAGCUGUGUGCUUAGAACGGAGUUGAGGUACAUCACAUCCGCAGAUAUCUUUUAUCAAAAUCAAACUUGGCUGUUUGAGGAUUAGCAUCUCACAUACUUUUAAGUAUCAGCUUUCUGUUGUUUGUUAGGCAAAAGAUUAUCAUGAUGCCGUUAACAUCUCCAGACAUGAUUAGAUUAUAAAUUGGAGGCAACGAGUGAGUGACAGUAGAGUUCCUCAUCUGAAGAUACGGUAUGCUCUCGUAUCAGACAGUCGAUGUGAACACAUAUUUGUAUUGAUAUUGGCAUUCUGUACAAAGACUGUUUCACAUGCACUUCUUUUUGGGUGCAUCAUGUUCACCAGCAUAUUUAUUUUAUAGCCUGAACCGCUGAUUUUCCAACUCGGAACGUGGUUUGCCGUUUUUGUCAGACAUCUGACACUCAAACAUCAAAGGAAUGACGCAGUCAAUGGUUACUCCUGAAUGGCAGUAUUGUGAAAUGGUUGUUUUUGUCAGAACAGUGGUAGUAUAGUGUGUCCAAUGGUUACUGUUUAAUUGUAUACGACGAAGAGGUUGUUUUUGCCAAAACAGCCGUGCACCACAGGAAUGACGUGUCCAGAGUUUACUCUUGAAUAGAAGUAUGACGAAGUGGUUGUUUUUGUCAGACCUGUGGGACUCGGCGUGUCCAAUGGUGGUAACUCUUGAAUGACAGAAUGAUGGAGUUGUUGUUUUUCUGAGGAAAGUGAUACUGAAGCAUUAAAGGAAUGGAGUGACCAAUGGCUACUCCCGAAUGGUAAUAUGACAACGUGGUUCUUUUUGUCAUAACAAGGAAUGACGUAGCGAAUGUAUAGUCUUGAAUUGUAGUUUGAUCGAUAAAGUAGUUGUUUUUGUCAGAACUAUGAUGUUCAAGCAUCAGACGAAUGGAGUCUUAUAUUAAGAAUUCACAUUGGAAAUGUGAACCGUUGCAAGAAAGUAUGGAUUUGAAGCUGUGGCAAUCACACAGAUGAUAACCAAUAGUUCUGCUAAGAUCAUCAUCUUGUUCCUCGGAGGUACAAUAAAGCCGUAAAUUGUGUCAGAAUUGCGGAUGUCAGUUAGAGAAAUCACAUGACUCAAAUUAUGUGUAGUUUAUUACUUUUAUUCAGCAGCAUAACGCAAUGACUGUUGUCGUACUUGCUGACCUAAUAGUUGGCAAUGUCUAGCUAUUUUUUUUAUAAGAAGACGCACACAUAACAUAAAAAUCACGAAUUAGUUUACAUCAAACACCAAACUACAUAAGUUUAUCCAUUUGGCUUU